rnacentral:tRNA from 1 species
GGGGCAUUAGCUCAGUUGGUAGAGCAACUGACUCUUAAUCAGUGGGUCGCGGGUUCAAAUCCCUCAUGCCCUA